UACGUAGGGUGCGAGCGUUGUCCGGAAUUAUUGGGCGUAAAGAGCUCGUAGGCGGUUUGUUGCGUCUAUCGUGAAAACCUGCAGCUUAACUGUGGGCUUGCGGUGGAUACGGGCAGACUUGAGUUCGGUAGGGGGAGACUGGAAUUCCUGGUGUAGCGGUGAAAUGCGCAGAUAUCAGGAGGAACACCGGUGGCGAAGGCGGGUCUCUGGGCCGAUACUGACGCUGAGGAGCGAAAGCGUGGGGAGCGAACAGG
rnacentral:rRNA from 1 species